rnacentral:rRNA from 1 species
GUGAACCAGUACCGUGAGGGAAAGGCGAAAAGAACCCCGGCGAGGGGAGUGAAAAAGAACCUGAAACCGUGUACGUACAAGCAGUGGGAGCACAGGUUUACCUGUGUGACUGCGUACCUUUUGUAUAAUGGGUCAGCGACUUAUAUUCUGUAGCAAGGUUAACCGUAUAGGGGAGCCGUAGGGAAACCGAGUCUUAACCGGGCGUUAAGUUGCAGGGUAUAGACCCGAAACCCGGUGAUCUAGCCAUGGGCAGGUUGAAGGUUGGGUAACACUAACUGGAGGACCGAACCGACUAAUGUUGAAAAAUUAGCGGAUGACCUGUGGCUGGGGGUGAAAGGCCAAUCAAACCGGGAGAUAGCUGGUUCUCCCCGAAAGCUAUUUAGGUAGCGCCUCGUGAAUUCAUCUCCGGGGGUAGAGCACUGUUUCGGCUAGGGGGCCAUCCCGGCUUACCAACCCGAUGCAAACUGCGAAUACCGGAGAAUGUUAUCACGGGAGACACACGGCGGGUGCUAACGUCCGUCGUGAAGAGGGAAACAACCCAGACCGCCAGCUAAGGUCCCAAAGUCAUGGUUAAGUGGGAAACGAUGUGGGAAGGCCCAGACAGCCAGGAUGUUGGCUUAGAAGCAGCCAUCAUUUAAAGAAAGCGUAAUAGCUCACUGGUCGAGUCGGCCUGCGCGGAAGAUGUAACGGGGCUAAACCAUGCACCGAAGCUGCGGCAGCGACGCUGAUGCGUUGUUGGGUAGGGGAGCGUUCUGUAAGCCUGUGAAGGUGGCCUGUGAGGGUUGCUGGAGGUAUCAGAAGUGCGAAUGCUGACAUAAGUAACGAUAAAGCGGGUGAAAAGCCCGCUCGCCGGAAGACCAAGGGUUCCUGUCCAACGUUAAUCGGGGCAGGGUGAGUCGACCCCUAAGGCGAGGCCGAAAGGCGUAGUCGAUGGGAAACGGGUUAAUAUUCCCGUACUUGGUGUUACUGCGAAGGGGGGACGGAGAAGGCUAUGUUGGCCGGGCGACGGUUGUCCCGGUUUAAGCGUGUAGGUGUGUGUUCCAGGUAAAUCCGGUUCACUUUAACACUGAGGCGUGAUGACGAGGCACUACGGUGCUGAAGCAACAAAUGCCCUGCUUCCAGGAAAAGCCUCUAAGCAUCAGGUAACAUCAAAUCGUACCCCAAACCGACACAGGUGGUCAGGUAGAGAAUACCAAGGCGCUUGAGAGAACUCGGGUGAAGGAACUAGGCAAAAUGGUGCCGUAACUUCGGGAGAAGGCACGCUGACACGUAGGUGAAGUGAUUUACUCAUGGAGCUGAAGUCAGUCGAAGAUACCAGCUGGCUGCAACUGUUUAUUAAAAACACAGCACUGUGCAAACACGAAAGUGGACGUAUACGGUGUGACGCCUGCCCGGUGCCGGAAGGUUAAUUGAUGGGGUCAGCGCAAGCGAAGCUCCUGAUCGAAGCCCCGGUAAACGGCGGCCGUAACUAUAACGGUCCUAAGGUAGCGAAAUUCCUUGUCGGGUAAGUUCCGACCUGCACGAAUGGCGUAAUGAUGGCCAGGCUGUCUCCACCCGAGACUCAGUGAAAUUGAACUCGCUGUGAAGAUGCAGUGUACCCGCGGCAAGACGGAAAGACCCCGUGAACCUUUACUAUAGCUUGACACUGAACAUUGAGCCUUGAUGUGUAGGAUAGGUGGGAGGCUUUGAAGCGUGGACGCCAGUCUGCAUGGAGCCGGCCUUGAAAUACCACCCUUUAAUGUUUGAUGUUCUAACGUGGACCCGUGAUCCGGGUUGCGGACAGUGUCUGGUGGGUAGUUUGACUGGGGCGGUCUCCUCCUAAAGAGUAACGGAGGAGCACGAAGGUUGGCUAAUCCUGGUCGGACAUCAGGAGGUUAGUGCAAUGGCAUAAGCCAGCUUGACUGCGAGCGUGACGGCGCGAGCAGGUGCGAAAGCAGGUCAUAGUGAUCCGGUGGUUCUGAAUGGAAGGGCCAUCGCUCAACGGAUAAAAGGUACUCCGGGGAUAACAGGCUGAUACCGCCCAAGAGUUCAUAUCGACGGCGGUGUUUGGCACCUCGAUGUCGGCUCAUCACAUCCUGGGGCUGAAGUAGGUCCCAAGGGUAUGGCUGUUCGCCAUUUAAAGUGGUACGCGAGCUGGGUUUAGAACGUCGUGAGACAGUUCGGUCCCUAUCUGCCGUGGGCGCUGGAGAACUGAGGGGGGCUGCUCCUAGUACGAGAGGACCGGAGUGGACGCAUCACUGGUGUUCGGGUUGUCAUGCCAAUGGCACUGCCCGGUAGCUAAAUGCGGAAGAGAUAAGUGCUGAAAGCAUCUAAGCACGAAACUUGCCCCGAGAUGAGUUCUCCCUGAGACUUAGAGUCUCCUGAAGGAACGUUGAAGACGACGACGUUGAUAGGCCGGGUGUGUAAGCGCAGCGAUGCGUUGAGCUAACCGGUACUAAUGAACCGUGAGGCUUAACCUU